GGCAGAGUCAAUAGUACAUCUUGCCUGAUGCUGAGUCAAACUUAGGCUCUAAUUUUCCUGGGUGUCAGCUGACUGCAAAAACAGUGCCACGUGUCCUGGAAGGAGCGCAGGCUGAGCCAAGGCUUGGGAGCCGAUGCUGCUUGUCCUCCUGCCUGACGAUGAAAUUCGAUUUGGCUGUUCAAGGGCCUGGAAAACCCGUGUUUACUGUUCAUGAAGAGGGUAGUAAACCAUGGAAGCUGAGUCAGACCUGCCUCAACUCACUGGUCAGCAGACCUGGCUGCUGAAGAUCUAGAAGACCUGGCUGAAGCAGGACAGGCUAGCCCACUGCCAAUAUGAUCAACUGAGCCUUUCAUUUCAAUGCCAGAGAAAUGCAGAGAGAGAGAGAGAGAGAGAGAGGGAGAGAGAGAGAGAGAGAGAGAGAGAGAGAGAGAGAGAGAGAGAGGAGAGCAUGUAGAAUUUACAGGAGGAUUAUUUACAAAAGGACUUUAGUUUGUGUUUAUUUUUUCCCUAAUAUAUUUGUAUGUAUGUGCAAAGGAAGUUGGGAACAAAUUAAAAAGCAAACUCAAAGAUAAUAAUCUUCCUAUUUGUAAUGUUCAUGUUCUACCUUUUUGUUCUUUGUAUUUUUUGGUAUUGCUUUUCCCAUUUUAUUUAGUUUACUAAGUAACAUAAGAACCUCAAAAUAUAUGCAAUUAUUCCUAAUAAACUUGAGUGCUUAUCGUGUGUAAGGAACUAUACCAGGUCCUGUAUGAGACACUAAGUUCUAUAUUAGAUAGCUAAGAUUUAAUCUAUCUCAGCAUCUAGAGAUUUGCUCAACAAUUUGCAGACACCUAGAUUUUAUAACAAAAAAAAUUGUCUAAUGGACAGUGGGAAAAAUCUAAAUCACUUAUAUUUAGCACAAAGCCCAGGAUUAUUUUGAGACAAUAGCAAUUAAAUACUUUUAUCAGAAACCAAUUCCAGAAGUGUUCAUCUGUGCGUUGUGAAUCAGGAAAGGGAAAGGGAGCUAUGCCUAUGCCGUAUGUGCACUCCGGAGCUACAGGACUACCAUCUGUGAUACAGCUGCUUCCCUUAAAUGCUCACACUCAUAACUUCAAUAGGAGGCAGCACAUGGGCUAUGGAAAAGCCUAUUUGAGGAAGUUCUGCGUUUGGUAGGUAGUUGAUUGAGGUUAGGCCUCCUCUAACCUUCUAACUCUGAGACUAAGUGAAGAAGGACACACAUAUAGCCUUUGGAGUCAGGAACUUGAAUAGAAAAUGUGAUAAGUGAGCACUUUUGUCAUCUGUGAUAUUACUAUCAUUUUGGAUGAAAAAGAUGACCAUUAUUUUCGUUUCAUAAAGUCUCUUCAAUCUUUACAGUA